AAAAUUCCUCAUCAAUAAUCUAAUCGAUGUAGCUAUUCAAGUGAUGGUAGCUACGAUUUUCUAAGACUUCACCUCAUCACGUGAUCCUCACCCCGCCUAUAGUAGGCGUGUUAACCAGUGACAAGAUUAAGAUUUAGAGAUGGCGAUAAAGCAGAGCUACUAUAGUAGCCUUGAGUGAGUGCAUGUCAGUGUUCUUGGUGGAGAUCAAGAGCUCAUCAAAUCCAAGGAGUCUUUCCAAGACCAAACAAGGAGGAUCAGAUAGCCCUCAAGGAAUGGCUCAGAGAGACUCGAUAAAGAAAAAGGCAUUGUAUAACUGGUCACUCUUUUUUUAACAUUAGCAAUUGCAUGUUUUGUUUUAAUGCCUGUACUAGUGACUACAAUGUUCUUAAUUAUUGAAUGAAAUUGCAAUAAACAAAA
rnacentral:lncRNA from 1 species